UGCUGUAUGAGACAGGCGAUGUGCUU
rnacentral:piRNA from 1 species